UACGUAGGGUGCGAGCGUUGUCCGGAAUUAUUGGGCGUAAAGAGCUCGUAGGCGGUUUGUCGCGUCUGCCGUGAAAGUCCGGGGCUCAACUCCGGAUCUGCGGUGGGUACGGGGCAGACUAGAGUGAUGUAGGGGAGACUGGAAUUCCUGGUGUAGCGGUGAAAUGCGCAGAUAUCAGGAGGAACACCGAUGGCGAAGGCAGGUCUCUGGGCAUUAACUGACGCUGAGGAGCGAAAGCAUGGGGAGCGAACAGGA
rnacentral:rRNA from 1 species